GACGAACGCUGGCGGCGUGCUUAACACAUGCAAGUCGAACGGAAAGGCCCUGCUUGCAGGGUGCUCGAGUGGCGAACGGGUGAGUAACACGUGGGUGAUCUGCCCCUUACUUUGGAAUAAGCCUGGGAAACUGGGUCUAAUACUGGAUAGGACCAUGCUGUAGGUGGUGUGGUGGAAAGAUUAGUUUCGGUAAGGGAUGAGCUCGCGGCCUAUCAGCUUGUUGGUGGGGUAAUGGCCUACCAAGGCGUCGACGGGUAGCCGGCCUGAGAGGGUGGACGGCCACAUUGGGACUGAGAUACGGCCCAGACUCCUACGGGAGGCAGCAGUGGGGAAUAUUGCACAAUGGGCGCAAGCCUGAUGCAGCGACGCCGCGUGGGGGAUGACGGCCUUCGGGUUGUAAACCCCUUUCAGCCAUGACGAAGCCCUUGUGGUGACGGUAGUGGUAGAAGAAGCACCGGCUAACUACGUG
rnacentral:rRNA from 1 species